AUUGAACGCUGGCGGCAUGCCUUACACAUGCAAGUCGAACGGCAGCACGGGCUUCGGUCUGGUGGCGAGUGGCGAACGGGUGAGUAAUGUAUCGGAACGUACCAUUGAGUGGGGGAUAACGUAGCGAAAGUUACGCUAAUACCGCAUAUUCUCUCCGGAGGAAAGCAGGGGACCGCAAGGCCUUGCGCUCUUUGAGCGGCCGAUAUCAGAUUAGCUAGUUGGUGGGGUAAAAGCUCACCAAGGCGACGAUCUGUAGCGGGUCUGAGAGGAUGAUCCGCCACACUGGAACUGAGACACGGUCCAGACUCCUACGGGAGGCAGCAGUGGGGAAUUUUGGACAAUGGGGGCAACCCUGAUCCAGCCAUGCCGCGUGAGUGAAGAAGGCCUUCGGGUUGUAAAGCUCUUUCGGCCGGGAAAAAAUCGCAUGGGUUAAUACCCUGUGUGGAUGAUGGUACCGGAAUAAGAAGCACCGGCUAACUACGUGCCAGCCGCCGCAGUAAAAC
rnacentral:rRNA from 1 species